rnacentral:rRNA from 3 species
UACCGUAGGUGAACCUGCGGUAGGAUCAUUG